AUUGAACGCUGGCGGCAGGCCUAACACAUGCAAGUCGAGCGAAUGAAGGGGGCUUUCGCCCGGAUUCAGUGGCGGGCGGGUGGGUAAUGCCUAGGAGUCUGCCUGGCAGUGAGGGAUGACGUCCGUUAAGGGGCCCUAAUACCGCACACGUCCUGAUGUUGAACGUGGGGGUUCUUCGGACCUAACGGUUUUAGCUGAGCCUAGGUCGGAUUAGCUAGUUGGUUGGGUAAAGGCCUACCAAGGCGACGAUGCGUAACCGGUCUGAGAGGGUGAUCUGUCACACUGGAACUGAGACACGGUCCAGACUCCUACGGGAGGCAGCAGUAGGGAAUCUUCCGCAAUGGGCGAAAGCCUGACGGAGCAACGCCGCGUGAGUGAUGAAGGUCUUCGGAUCGUAAAACUCUGUUAGUAGGGAAGAACAAAUGUGUAAGUAACUAUGCAUGUCUUGACGGUACCUAAUCAGAAAGCAACGGCUAACUACGUG
rnacentral:rRNA from 1 species